AUGUUCUGGGCCGCACGCGCGCUGCACUGAUGCGAUCAACGAGCCUAGCCUUGGCCGAGAGGUCCGGGUAAUCUUGCAAACCGCAUCGUGAUGGGGAUAGAUUAUUGCAAUUAUUAAUCUUCAACGAGGAAUGCCUAGUAAGCGCGAGUCAUCAGCUCGCGUUGAUUACGUCCCUGCCCUUUGUACACACCGCCCGUCGCUCCUACCGAUUGGGUGUGCUGGUGAAGCGUUCGGAUCGGUGGCUCCAAGCGGUUCGCCGCCGGGGGCAACCGAGAAGUUCGUUAAACCCUCCCACCUAGAGGAAGGAGAAGUCGUAACAAGGUUUCCGUAGGUGAACCUGCGGAAGGAUC
rnacentral:rRNA from 1 species